rnacentral:misc_RNA from 2 species
UCGUAACAAGGUUUCCGUAGGUGAACCUGCGGAAGGAUCAUUACCGAGUGCGGGCCCUCGCGGCCCAACCUCCCACCCUUGUCUCUAUACACCUGUUGCUUUGGCGGGCCCACCGGGGCCACCUGGUCGCCGGGGGACGCACGUCCCCGGGCCCGCGCCCGCCGAAGCGCUCUGUGAACCCUGAUGAAGAUGGGCUGUCUGAGUACUAUGAAAAUUGUCAAAACUUUCAACAAUGGAUCUCUUGGUUCCGGCAUCGAUGAAGAACGCAGCGAAAUGCGAUAAGUAAUGUGAAUUGCAGAAUUCCGUGAAUCAUCGAAUCUUUGAACGCACAUUGCGCCCCCUGGCAUUCCGGGGGGCAUGCCUGUCCGAGCGUCAUUUCUGCCCUCAAGCACGGCUUGUGUGUUGGGUGUGGUCCCCCCGGGGACCUGCCCGAAAGGCAGCGGCGACGUCCGUCUGGUCCUCGAGCGUAUGGGGCUCUGUCACUCGCUCGGGAAGGACCUGCGGGGGUUGGUCACCACCAUGUUUUUACCACGGUUGACCUCGGAUCAGGUAGGAGUUACCCGCUGAACUUAAGCAUAUCAAUAA